GCAAGUAACGCUCCCAACACCGGAGGCUUGAAAUCCCAGAGCAGGGAAGCCUUUGAUACGCCCAGAGCCCGAGGUCGGCCCCACGCCCUGUUGUGACACAAGCAGGAGCACUGCGCCUGCAACACGCUCCUGCUCAGGCGUGCUGCACCCAGAGGGAACCAAGUCAGGCACCCAGGACGCAGGACCCAGGACGGAGAGCGUAUUCCUGUCUUGAUCGGCUGCACGCUUCUUGUUUGUGUAGAGGAGGUGAGGCAGGGAUGACCACUGAGCAGCGAAACGCUUACCUUCCUGCAGUUGUAGAAAUCCCGGUGGGGGUUGUUCUUCAGCUCCUUUAACUCAUCCAUCUCGUUGAGCAUCUCAUGGACCUGGAACUUGGAGGAGAGGAACUUCAGGCGCCGACAUAGAGCCAAGAGGAAGGCAGCAGAAUGAUCUCUCUCCCGUGAAGCUGGUGUGUGUGUGUUGGGUGAGUGCUAUGAAGAGGAGGUUCCAGCAAAGCGUAGGUAGCAAAUAAUGAAAAUGGCAACCAGCUAUUUGGAGCGACAGUAGAAGACGAACAUUCUUCACACGAUGACAAAGCAAAGUGCAUGCAAAGAGGAAGAUCCCCCACUCCUGCCCCAUCAGCGUCUCUACAGGUCUCCAAAAUGCCCCAUUUCAAUUCUAUCUUAA